rnacentral:rRNA from 1 species
UCGGAGUGAAAGGCUAAUCAAACCGGGAGAUAGCUGGUUCUCGCCGAAAGAUAUUUAGGUAUCGCCUCGGAAAACUCUGUCGAGGAGGUAGAGCACUGGAUGGGCUAGGGGUCUUACCAGAUUACCAAACCCACCAAACUCCUAAUGCCUCGACAUUUACUCCGGGAGUCAGGCUGUGGGAGCUAAGUUCCAUGGCCAAAAGGGAAAGAGCCCAGACCGCCAGCUAAGGUCCCUAAGUCGUUGCUAAGUGGUAAAGGAUGUGGAAGCACACAGACAACCAGGAGGUUGGCUUAGAAGCAGCCAUCCUUUAAAGAAAGCGUAAUAGCUCACUGGUCAAGUGAGUCCGCGCCGAAAAUUUAACGGGGCUAAAGUAACGCACCGAAGCUGCGGGUUGAUUUUAUCAGCGGUAGGCGAGCAUUGUCACAACUGUGAAGCCAGACGGUAACGACUGGUGGAGUGGUGACAAGAGCGAAUGCAGGCUUGAGUAGCGAUAAACCGAGC